UAGGCGUACACAUAACAUUGUAUAAUAAAUGUGCUCAGUUUGAUUGUUGCUUUACAGAAGAAAAAAGAAAGGAUGAUCCACCUUUACCACUGAUCUGGUCUCCUAACUCUGGGCUGAACAACUGCAGGGGACUAUGGUGAGCUUACGGAAGGACAUGGGAUCAUGACUUUGCUUCUUUAGAGGGCGCCCUGAAGUCAGAAGGCGGGGACUCCACGCUGACCUCCCCAGCAGUGUGAACGCUCACUUUGGCACUCUCUCCAAACGCCAGAAGAUCUGGAAUUCUUAUCAAAGACAGACUGUGAGCUCGGGUCUGCGGAGGAGGAGAGCCAUGUCCGGGGGCUCUGGUGAUGCUUCUGCUGCGGUAACCACCUCUCACCAAGCCUGGCUGUGCUGUGUGGCCCAGGGGCCCCAUG